rnacentral:rRNA from 1 species
AGAUUGAACGCUGGCGGCAUGCCUAACACAUGCAAGUCGAACGGGAGUAGCAAUACUCUAGUGGCGGACGGGUGAGGAAUACGUAGGAAUUUGCCCUUAAGUGGGGGAUAACCCGGGGAAACCCGGAUUAAUACCGCAUGACCUCGAAAGAGCAAAGUGGGGGAUCGCAAGACCUCACGCUUUUGGAGAAGCCUACGUCGGAUUAGCUAGUUGGUGAGGUAAUGGCUCACCAAGGCGACGAUCCGUAACUGGUCUGAGAGGAUGAUCAGUCACACCGGAACUGAGACACGGUCCGGACUCCUACGGGAGGCAGCAGUGGGGAAUAUUGGACAAUGGGCGCAAGCCUGAUCCAGCAAUACCGCGUGUGUGAAGAAGGCCUCGGUUG